rnacentral:tRNA from 1 species
UUAAAUGAAGCCAAGCUAGAGGCAUUUUAUUGUUAAUAAAAUUAUUGAAAUUUUUUUCCAUUUAAA